AUUCAAAAAGGUUCCCCUUUAUCAUUACCAUGAAUCAACACAAUAAAUGAGCCCCUUCAGAGCACGGUAAUAAGAAUUUGAUAAAUCAUCAGCCAAAAAUUAACUAGAUGUCAAAACAAUCUUUGGGAAGUGUGAUGGAUUAGGGGCGAUAGUGGCAAUUAAUCUCCCAGCAUGAGUUCACAGGAGAGACUGAGCGCUGGGAGAUGGAUCGGGGGGAGACCACGGCCUCGCAAGGUCAGGACACUGCGGAAAGGAACGGGAGAGGGAGAGAGAGACGGAGGAAAGAAGAAAAAAUUCCACUGAGUCGGCAAUCCGCGGCCCCCAGCAGCCGAGGUAGAGCCUUGAACGCAGAGCAGCAACGCCAUCGCUGCGAGAUGAGCCACUCACUGCCAUUGGAGCGAACAAAAGUUGGGAUGCAUUCAGUUAAACCUCAAUGAAAAACGUUCUGCUUGGAGCACGCUGCAUUUGUGCCUACAAAGAGGAGCCGACUGGUGAAGUCAGGACGUUUUGCUAAUCAGCUCGUAUCAUAUGGGAGCUAUCAGCAGAGACAGUCAAGCCUGGGGAUAUGUAAAGCCUUUCCACUGCCUGAAGAAUCCAAGGAGACCUUUGACACCUGACAAAUUCCCUUGCAAGGGAAGGGUAAGGGAAGAAAGUCGGAGCCAAAAGCUGUCAAGCCGUUUCUUCAUUAGCCCUCAAAUAGAAUCCUGAAAUGUUCCUCUGCCACGAUACCUUGUUUCUAUGGGGCAACAUGGAAGGUCUGCUUUGCUCAGAGCUAUCCUUUCCAUGCCGUUGGUCAGCUCCCCUCUGCACACAGAGCCACCGGGGCCACAGAAAUGGGCCUAAGGGCAAAUUCUGCAAAGGAGCCAAUGUCUGCACAAGGCACUGGGGAAUCAGGUCUGCAUUCUCCCCAGAAACAUCCCGUGAGCAACCAGAAAUGUAAUUCUAAUGCUGGGCUGUGCCACCAAACACAGUGCUUCUGGUUAAGCAGAACUUGGAGGAGCACAUUGCCUGGAUGUCCCAUAAGAAAGCACAGGAGGG
ensembl:lncRNA